rnacentral:rRNA from 1 species
UACGUAGGGUGCGAGCGUUGUCCGGAAUUAUUGGGCGUAAAGGGCUCGUAGGCGGUUUGUCGCGUCGGGAGUGAAAUCCACUGGCUUAACUGGUGGCUUGCUUUCGAUACGGGCAGACUGGAGGUAUGCAGGGGAGAACGGAAUUCCUGGUGUAGCGGUGAAAUGCGCAGAUAUCUGGAGGAACACCGGUGGCGAAGGCGGCAUCCUGGACCGGCAUUGACGCUGAGGAGCGAAAGCCAGGGGAGCAAACGGG